CUCGCAGAACCUUCCCUUCGUCGUCGUCGGGGAUCAACUGGGUCGGCAGAACUUCGAUCACGGCGUCAGCGUACUGCUUCUGCGGAUCUGCCGCCACACCAACAAGCGACCUUCGAUGACAAAGAUCUUGGGCGGCGUGAUAAGCUCCGGCGGGUCGAGGAGGCCGGUGACGUGGUUGUAGAUGGGCUUCUGGACCGCCUGGCCUUGCUUGAUCGCCUUCACCUGCUCGUACAUGAGGUCGAAGUUGUUGGCCCUCGGGUCGAGCGCGGUGACGCCCUUCUCCUUCCUGCCGGUCCUGUCCAGGGAGUGGUAGUCGUCGAGGCAUAUCACGGUCGUGGUGUCGCUGAUGAGCGUGUUGGAGUCCGGGUUCCCGCCCCUGGGCGGCUCCGCGGCGCCGCCGAAGACGCUGGUGAGCCGGCGCAUGAAGGUGCUCUUGCCGCACCCGGAGUCCGCCGCCAGGCCGAUCACCACUGGCUUGUUGCCGUCGGCGGAGCACGAGACCUGGAGUAAGGUCCUGCUCACCCCUCCUCCACGCCUUCUGCUGCCGCUCCUCCUGUUGAUGCUGGUCAAGAAGAUGACUUGCUUCUGCACCAAGCCAGCUGCCGCGUUCGAGACGGUCGUCGUGCAUGGGGAGCGCAGGGAGAUGGUGGUGGUGUGCGCGCUGCAGAUCGCCAUCAUGCCGGCGGCUGCGUUUGUCUUGUCUUCUUCCCCCCCGGCCGGCCCAAGAGUCCAAGCCUUGUGUGGGUGGCAGGGACCUUGGAGAGGAGAAGAGAGGGAGAACGGGAUGGUGGGUGUGGACUGUGGAGCUACGAGAUAACAGGACGAAAUGAGGAUGGCGA
rnacentral:misc_RNA from 1 species